rnacentral:siRNA from 1 species
UACCAUGACUAGUUUAACCGCCA